CAAUUUCCUCAGCAGUCCAAAAAGAUGCUUCAGCCUUCUUGUAGAAUUGCCAAAUUUCGUGAUACUUAAUUGGAAACAAAACAAAGCGGUGAGGAUUAGGGCGAAGCACAACUUCAUCAAGCUCAUCUUCCUUUUUGCCCAAGUAGUAGUCGCCUCCUUCCUGUUUCUCUUCUUCACUUACAUUAUCAAAGUUAAAGGUUUCUUUAAUAGAUUUAACAUAAAUUUUACGAACACCUUGUUCGCUAUCAUACUCGACUUCUUCACCAUGUUCCUUAGGAUAACUGAAUUCUUCGAGAUGCUCAAGGCCCAUUUUGUAAGAUUAAUAAUGAGAUUUCGUCCAAACUGACCGGAUUUAUCUGUAUAUAGAAUAAGUACAAAAGUUUUCUUCCACCGCGAUUAUCUCUUGCGAUGUGGCUUCCCAAGAUGUGUUGUGGUUAAUGGCAAAACUUUCAAAGGUAGGUUAUCCAAUGUAGUGCACAGUAUUGUAGUAUAUUCAACACCACCGUUUUUUUUGUGGAUGUUAAUUUGUCGCACUUUGGGUAUGAUAACACAAUGAAUAAGAGUGAAGGCAAAAUAGACAAAAUGCUGCCUUAUUUUACAGAGUGGAAAAUUGCAGUUAAACUAAGUCAAAGGCUGAUGGAGAUGAAUAACGUUGAAAAAAAACAAUGUACUAAUUAAUAUUUGGAGACAAACGCAACGAGUAAAAAAAAUGAAAUAAAUUCGAAGACAAUCUCAAAUUAAAUGGGAAAAGCAAGGGCUUACUUCCUUUCCCUUCUGGUGUGUUAUAAUAACGGUUUCUUAAAGCAGGAAAUUGUAGCUAGUUAAUAGAAAAAUGUGAUAGCUUAAAUCGAAGAAUUCGAUGCUAAGCGUGGAGUCGAAUAAA